UCUGGAUGAGUUGCGAACGGGUGAGUAACGCGUAGGUAACCUGCCUGGUAGCGGGGGAUAACUAUUGGAAACGAUAGCUAAUACCGCAUAACAGUAGAUGUUGCAUGACAUUUACUUAAAAGGUGCAAUUGCAUCACUACCAGAUGGACCUGCGUUGUAUUAGCUAGUUGGUGGGGUAACGGCUCACCAAGGCGACGAUACAUAGCCGACCUGAGAGGGUGAUCGGCCACACUGGGACUGAGACACGGCCCAGACUCCUACGGGAGGCAGCAGUAGGGAAUCUUCGGCAAUGGACGGAAGUCUGACCGAGCAACGCCGCGUGAGUGAA
rnacentral:rRNA from 1 species